CCCUGCCAUUUGUACACACCGCCCGUCGCUGCCCGGAACUGAGCCGUUUCGAGAAAGCCGGGGACUGGCGGCUUGUGGGUGCGCAAGCGCUCUUCGCUGUUGGAAACCAGUUUAAUCGGUAUGGCUUG
rnacentral:rRNA from 1 species